CAGGGCUGAGACAGGGAGUGGGGCCAUUCAGGAUAUGGGGCAGCAGGGGAGCCCUGCAAAGCUGGGGCUGAGCCGCAGGGAUGGCUGAGCAAGGCGAUGGGAGAUCUGGAGCAAGCGCUGCACCAACAGAGGACCAGAUUCCACUCUCUAUUACGCUCGUUGUAAAUCUGGAGUAACUGCAUUGACAUUAGCGGAGUCGCUCCAGGUUUACACUGCUGCUGCUGCGAUGUGAAUCCAGCCGUCACCUGCAUCGAGAACAUUCCACGUUCAGUCCUGCCCUACCUCUGCUCGACAGUGUGUUAGAGCUCUUCUGGGUGCCCGGCCGCUGGGAUCAGUGCCCGGCUUGGCACCCAGGCCCGCUCCUCUCAGAUCCCGUGUUGGGCCACUGGCCGGCCAAGGCCUGCAGGUCCUGUGAAGCCAAGAAUGGGGCCGGCAGCAUAGAACAGCGUAAAACCCUGCCUGGUUGGGGAGCUGUGUGCUGGGCACCCUGUGCGGAAACCAGCCACCCCACCGACUGUCUGGGGACUCCUCCCUCUGCUGAAGGCGCAGCACGUCCCCUCUCCCAACCACAUGUCCAUCUGUCUGUCCAUCCCUUGAGAUCAGCACCUGGUGGGGUGGCAGGUUCCGCCUUCCCCAGGUCAGAGGAGGUGAUUGCUUCCUCCUGCAUCUCUGGUUGCUGCUCAGGACAGGUACAAAUGCCACAGUGCUGCCAUCGGUUACAGCAGAAUAAAUCCUGAUUAGCCCCAGUUGCUCCAGGUUUUAUACCGCUGCUGGUGAGAUCAAAAUCUGGCCCAUGGCCUGCACUGAGAACAUGCCAUGUGCUGGCCCCAGGCAAGGGGGUGGGGGAGCCCUGGGUCACCUCCCCUUCCCCCAUUGCUGCCAUGGGUUCUACCCCAGACCCUGGGUUCCUCUUUAGCGGCUCACGCCCCCUCAGGACUCGACAGGCUCGGCUUCUCUCCCGCGCAGUUUCAGAUCCGGGCGCUGGAGUCUCAGAAGCAGCAGCAGGAAAUCGUGCUGUGAAGGAAAACCCAGGAGGAAGAAGUUCCCAAAGAAGGGGAUGAGCCAGACCUUCAGCAAGGCGGCCCGGCUCAAGUGGCAGUCGCUGGAGCGGCGCAUCUUUGACGUUGUCAUGCAAAAGAUGACCAUCGUCAACCUGGAGGCGGAUAUGGAGCGGCUGAUCAAGAAACGCGAGGAGCUGGCGCUGCUGCAGGGGAAGAGGGGAAAGCUGCAGGCGGAGAGCCCGGAGGAGCAGAAGGGCCUGCAGAGCUGAACGAGGAGAUCAAGGUGCUGACCGCCAACAUUGACUACAUCACCGACAGCAUCGCCGACUGCCAGGCCACCAUCAUGCAGCUGGAGUAGACCAAGGUG